rnacentral:rRNA from 1 species
UACGGAGGGUGCAAGCGUUAUCCGGAUUUACGGGGUUUAAAGGGUGCGUAGGUGGUCAGUUAAGUCAGUGGUGAAAUCUCCGAGCUUAACUCGGAAACUGCCAUUGAUACUAUCUGUCUUGAAUUAUCUGGAGGUGAGCGGAAUAUGUCAUGUAGCGGUGAAAUGCUUAGAUAUGACAUAGAACACCAAUUGCGAAGGCAGCUCACUACGGGUAUAUUGACACUGAGGCACGAAAGCGUGGGGAUCAAACAGG